UACGAAGGGGCGUAGCGUUGCUCGGAAUCACUGGGCGGUAAAGACGCACGUAGGCGGAUCGUUAAGUCAGGGGUGAAAUACCUGGAGCUCAACUCCAGAACUGCCCUUGAUACUGGCGAUCUCGAGUUCGAGAGAGGUUGGUGGAACUCCGAGUGUAGAGGUGAAAUUCGUAGAUAUUCGGAAGAACACCAGUGGCGAAGGCGGC
rnacentral:rRNA from 1 species